CCUGGAACAAAUGGAGUUUGUUUGUAUCAGUGAAACACUGGAAUAGGCGGUCUGAGGAUUACAACGCCAGCCUCCUGCUCCUCGGGGAGAAAUUUCCAAAGGCAAAAACGGAACUUCAUUGCCAUUAAAAACCAAUGCGAGCGAGGCAGCAAUUCAGCCUUUGAAAAGCAACGACUCUCAUACAACCCUGCCCUCCGCCCACCAGAACCAACAGCCUCUCUAAUCCUGCUUGUUUGUGUGCACUCUGCACUUGUGAUCCUUCCUGGUGUGACUUGAAUUUCAAAUAUGGAGCUUUAUAUUUGCCUGGUCUGCUUGUGUGUGCACCUGCCUAGUUGCUGUUGCUAUCUGUGCCAUUUUAACCCCGUGACCUGGGGCCUUGGAGGAAAUCUGGAUCCUAAUUUAAUUGGAAACAACUGGGGAAAGUCUUUUAUGGAGAGCACUGGAAGGAAGGGUGGUAUUAAAGCAUGGUACUGUAUCUACGGUAGGACCAAUGAGCAGCACAAUGUUCACUGA